rnacentral:lncRNA from 1 species
UGAGGGGGGUCCCUGGGUCUGGGUCCCGUCACGGUGCUGCUCCCCCUGGGCCUCACGGUGUGUUCAUUCCGCUGCAGGGCUGCCAAGAGGCGACUGGGAGCAGCCAGCGGCCCGGCGGGGAGGAAGGCGCCGGGAGGAGGGCGGCAGCCGGCAGCUAAAGAGCAGGUGUCCCCUCAGAAGGAGACGCAACCCAAAAGGGCAGCAGGGCAAGCCCCGCAGCGCAAGUCUGGCUUCAGUGACGGCAAUGCGAAAUGGCUGACCCCAGCCAAAGCCAAAAAGAACUCAUCUAAAGGAAACAAUGUGGAGUUAUCCAGCGAUGGGGAGGUGGAAGAGGGCAGCUGGGAGAUGGAGGAGGAGGAGGACGAAGAUGAGAGCGGAGAGGAGAUGGUGGAUGAUUAUGGCGCCUCAUCGUCUGAGGAGGAAGAGCUGCUGCCUAUUGAAAAAGCCGCCCUGAAGCAGAAGUCUGACAGGGGAGGCCUCAGUGAAGAUGACAGUGAAGAGGAGGAGGAGGAGGAAGAGGANGAGGAGGAAGAGGAAGAAGAGGAGGAGGAUGAGGAGACAAGUACACAUAAGACGGGACAGAAGGAAGAAGAGAGCAAAGAUCUGCAGCUCAACCUGGAUGUAGAUGAAGAGUUCAAAUUGCCAACUAACGAGCAGAUUGAAAAAGAGAAUAUCCUUUAUAUCUGUGACAUCCAUGAGCCAUAUGCACACAGCAGUACAGAGCCUGGGCACAGCUGAAGAGCUUUCAGCUUUAUCACAUGUAUUGUUUAGCAAGAUGCCUGAUGAGGCGUUUUUAGAUGAGCUGCCUUAGCAGUUACUGUAUAAUGCUGCACUAUAGUAUAGCUAGGAAAUAUGUUAUGCCCUGUAAAGGGCUGAGAGCCUGCCCCCAUCUUUCUUCUUUUUAGUCCUAAAUACAUAUGGAUCCGUCACAUAGUGUAUUCCUCUCUACCCUGAUUUCCCAGCAGGUGUUUGUCUAACCCAGUCAUAGAACCUCUGGCAGUAGUGACUCCAGCAUACAAAGUGCUUGCUCUUGGGCUUCAGUGAUUUUCAUUUCCUGCCUCUCCCUGUGCAAUUUAAUCUUGCUGCUUCUCUUUCUCUGUUGUUCCCCAUAGUUGUCUUUGGGGAACAUGUGAUCUCCUUUCUGAUGCAGAUAAAGUUUUCAGCGUUGGAAGACAUUUUCCCCAUUUUUUUCCCCUGUUUAUUUAAACUAAACCAUAUUCUUU